rnacentral:rRNA from 1 species
GAUCCUGGCUCAGGACGAACGCUGGCGGCGUGCCUAACACAUGCAAGUCGAACGAAGCACUGUGGAUAGAGACUUCGGUCAAUUGAAACUUUGACUUAGUGGCGGACGGGUGAGUAACGCGUGAGGAACCUGCCUUUCAGAGGGGGACGAACAGUUGGAAACGACUGCUAAUACCGCAUGACACAGCGAGAUCGCAUGGUCUUGCUGUCAAAGAUUUAUCGCUGAAAGAUGG